UACGUAGGGCGCAAGCGUUAUCCGGAAUUAUUGGGCGUAAAGAGCUCGUAGGCGGCUUGUCGCGUCGAAUGUGAAAACCUGCAGCCCAACUGCAGGCUUGCAUUCGAUACGGGCAGGCUCGAGUUCGGUAGGGGAGACUGGAAUUCCUGGUGUAGCGGUGAAAUGCGCAGAUAUCAGGAGGAACACCGGUGGCGAAGGCGGGUCUCUGGGCCGAUACUGACGCUGAGGAGCGAAAGCGUGGGGAGCGAACAGG
rnacentral:rRNA from 1 species